GAUCUGCGGUGGGUACGGGCCAGACUAGAGUGAUGUAGGGGAGACUGGAAUUCCUGGUGUAGCGGUGAAAUGCGCAGAUAUCAGGAGGAACACCGAUGGCGAAGGCAGGUCUCUGGGCAUUAACUGACGCUGAGGAGCGAAAGCAUGGGGAGCGAACAGGAUUAGAUACCCUGGUAGUCCAUGCCGUAAACGUUGGGCACUAGGUGUGGGGGACAUUCCACGUUUUCCGCGCCGUAGCUAACGCAUUAAGUGCCCCGCCUGGGGAGUACGGCCGCAAGGCUAAAACUCAAAGGAAUUGACGGGGGCCCGCACAAGCGGCGGAGCAUGCGGAUUAAUUCGAUGCAACGCGAAGAACCUUACCAAGGCUUGACAUGGACCAGACCGGACUGGAGACAGUUCUUCCCCUUUGGGGUUGGUUCACAGGUGGUGCAUGGUUGUCGUCAGCUCGUGUCGUGAGAUGUUGGGUUAAGUCCCGCAACGAGCGCAACCCUCGUUCUAUGUUGCCAGCACGUGAUGGUGGGGACUCAUAGGAGACUGCCGGGGUCAACUCGGAGGAAGGUGGGGACGACGUCAAAUCAUCAUGCCCCUUAUGUCUUGGGCUUCACGCAUGCUACAAUGGCCGGUACAAAGGGUUGCGAUACU
rnacentral:rRNA from 1 species